CCUCUUAGUUGUGUUGGAUAGUGAGUAAAGCGGUGAUAGUUUCAACAUCAAUCUGUAUUUCUCAUCUUCCCACGAUCGAUUAAU
rnacentral:pre_miRNA from 1 species